rnacentral:rRNA from 1 species
AAAUUCGCCUGUAUGAAGCCGGAAUUGCUAGUAAUGGCAGGUCAGCAUACUGCCGUGAAUACGUUCCCGGGCCUUGUACACACCGCCCGUCACACCAUGAGAGUUGGGGAUACCCAAAGCCCGUGAGCCAACUAUAAAGAGGCAGCGGUCUAAGGUAGAAUCAAUGAUUGGGGUGAAGUCGUAACAAGGUACC